ensembl:lncRNA
CGGAUGGCUUGAGGAUAAAAGCUCUUCUUGAGUCUCUCUGUCCUUGCCCGGAUGAUGCGGAACCUUCUACCAGAUUGUAGAAGUUGGAACAGUUUGUUGCCAGGAUGGGACGGGUCCUUCAGUAUCUGCGUUGCUCUAGUCCGGCAUCUCCUGGUGUAGUGUCCUGAAGUGGGGGGAGAGCAAUCCUGCAGCAGCGUUCUGCUGUACAGAUCACUGCUGUACGGAUUGGUGCCAAUUGGUAAUUGGUGGUGAGUUGCAGUUAUUUGUUUGUGCAGUCUGUGCAUUUGUUUAAUAGUUAAUCCCAUGUGCUGAGUUGUAUAUUGGACAGUUGCAUGUGGAAUAAAAGGAGCAAAUGGUACAGAAGUGUAUUUUAUGCGUUUAUUGUUGCGUGUCAUCUGUGUCCUCAUGUUUAGCCUGCCGCCGUAGGUUGGAGGAGCCACAACAGUCAGUGAACAUUUAAACGCCACCUGGUCGCGACAGAUGGCCACCCCUUCCUGGGCCCGGUUCUGUCAGAGGUUUCCUCCCAUUAAAGGGGGAUUUUCCCUUCCCGCUGUCGCCAAGUGCUUGCUCAUAGGGGAUUUGGGGGCUUUUAAAAAAAAAAGUUCACUGGCAUCAAAUUUAGGACUCAGCAAAUAUGUAAAUGGAUGAUUCCUCAUCAAAUGAGGAAUCAUCCAUUUAAAACAUUUGCGAGUCACAUUUAGUUGUGUAUAUAAUUAUGAUUUCUUAAGAUUUCAAUUAAGUUUUAAAAAAAAGAAUAUUGGAAAAAACAUGUCUCAUUAUUUCAUAUAAUUUCAAAUAACAUACCAUGUGAUGUCAACAUAUAUUUGUUACAUUUGCAGUGCUCGUGGUCUUAUAUUCUUAUGAUUCUGUUCAUUUUAUGAGUAUAUCCUUCUGCCUUGCUUCACAUAUUUACUGCUGCUUGGCUAGCUUUAGUCAUGCCAGCAUCAGCACAGAAACAGGUAUCCAUCAGAGAUAUCACAUGUAGCUUGUGUUUAUGUUCAGAGUAUUACAGUCCUGGGCCGGUGGCCCAGUGUCUUGAUUUUGUAUUGUUGUUUGUUAGUCUGUUUUUUCUUUUGGUUCAUGGUUUAUGACUACUGGUGUCACGGACCCAGCUCUGGAGGACUCGGGGUCUGUGAGCAGUGUGGACUGUUAUUAUUAUUAUUAUUAUUAUUAUUAUUAUUAUCAUUAUUACUAUUAUCAUUUGGUGUAUGUGUGUGCACUGUUCCGCUGUCUGGGGGUUUUGUUCUAUGUGUCUAUGUAUAGGGGGGGUGUGUGUGUGUGUGUGUGUGUGUGUGUGUGUGUGUGUGCGUGCGUGCGUGUGGCUGUGGCCAGGAGGCCGGGCUACAGGCACCGUCAGGCCUGUGGAUGACUGGCCGCGCCCAAGGAGGAUGCCACACACCUGCAGCGGAUCAGCAUCGGCGGAGGGAGCUACUUAAUGGUGUGGUGAAGCGUCCACCGACGCGGGAUCAUUGCGUGAGACUCCACGAGAAGUGUGGAGCACCAGACAGCAGCCAGCACGAGGAGUGCUGGGACACGGGAGCGGAGAGCACAAAGCCACGGACUCUUUAGGGAAAGACACCACACGGGAGUGAAGGGAGAGCACGGGGAUUUAUUGUUAUUUUCCACUUUAGUAUUUCGAAGAAAACAUUAUGGACGUGUAAUUUUAUUAAUAAUUUCUAGACAAAAACAAUGAAAACACUGUAAAGAAAAUAACGCUUGAAGAUCGAGUGUAUUCUUUAGUUAGAAAUGAAACACACACACACACACACACACACACACACACACACACACACACACACACACACACACACACACUGUGUAUAGCAGCUGACCUAUCGGAUGUGAUACUAACACAUUAUUUACCGUCAGAUGAUCCUGGCAACUCAACCGUUGUUC